CAUCAACGGAAAGAUCUGGACGAGCUGAACUAAAAUUGCAGACGACUUUACGACUUUAGUUUAUUUUGCGUAUGUUUUUACAUAAAGGUGGAUUCUGUUUAAGCCCAAUUGAUUUGUUAAAAAUAUGGAAUCAAUCGCUGAUCCUUUUCAACGCUAAACACUCUCUAAUCUCAUAUUGUAUGAUUUGCUAUUUUAAUAUACCAGCAACGACGUCUGCGCAGAUUAAUACCCUACGGCAAUUAUAUAGACUUUAAUAAUUAAGGACGUACAGCAGAAACGUGUUUGCAAAUUGAUUUCAAAUCUCAACUGCUGCACAAGAUGUCGUCUUCAAUGUCAAAUGUCGUUGAACAGGCUCAUCAACGAUUUCGAUUUCUAAGAGACACGAGAGCCGUACGAGAGAAGGAAGAAAAACGCCAAAAUGUUAGAUCAACUGAUUUCCCGCCUGUUUUUAACAAACGUCUGUUUACCGCUAAAUCUAACAGCAUCAUCAUUACACGUGAGGCGCGCAAAGUUCUUGCAAGAAAUCGCGAGUGUAUGGCGUCAAACGCUUGCAGACGACUGACUGAUCAUGAAAUACGUCAUAUGAAUUACCUCGUUGAGGUUCUCGGUUUGAUCCAUCACAACCUCCAAUAUGUGAAAGAAUGCCUCUGCUACGUCGUCACUUACGAAAGUUAUGAUUCCCGGCAAUACAUUGUGAAAUAUGAGCGGGAAGAAUGUUUAUCUUGUUUUUAUAUUGUCAGCGGAAGAGUAGAAGUAACUUACGAUCGCAUUAGCCUCGACGCAUCCGUACAUGUUCACGAACGAAAUCUGAUUUACACACAUGGGCCUGGUGAAUACUUAGGUCUGGUCUCGCAUGAGGGUGAGCAGGGCGAUCUGGAACCCCCAUCAACAAUGUAUACUCUUGAGCCUUGUGAAUUCAUUCGGGUUGAUAGACAGCGUUUUCAUGACACAAUGGAAGGUUUGCAUAUAAGGCAUACGAAAGAGAAGAGAUCAUUUCUCAGUCGCCAUAAACUUCUGAAGAAUCUACCAACUGUUGAUAAAGAACGAUUAAUUCCUGGUCUUGUAAAGCAGGUAUACCCAGCAAACAAAGUCAUUCUACGCCAAGGAGAGGUCACUGAUUCCAUAUUCUUUGUGUCUUCUGGUCGAUGUCAAUUUUUCCGUAAGUUGUAUUUGAAGCAGACAGAGAGGCAUGAAAUUUUCAAACUUGGCGACAUCGAAGAAGGUGAUGUUUUUGGUGGCGAGAGUGUCAUAAAUGGUAAAACAAGCUCUGUAACAGUUUCAAGUGCUGGAAUCGUCACGUGCUAUCGAAUCAACAGGAUGCACUUCAUCAUGACGGCUCGCGAAAACCUCAUCCGAUUAAUUUUAGCGCAGCCUAAAUCCUUAAUUGAUGACACCGAGAUCCGAAAUCGAGGGUAUAACUGGACAAUUUGGCAGGAUUUUAAAAGAGCAAACGUAGUCGGAUUACUUAAAAAUACGGACCAUAGUUACUUGAUAAAAAGAAAUGUCCGGCUGACGAAACGUUCUUUACAAUCGAGAAGACCUCAAACUUGUCAGAACUUUCGGCGUAUUCACAGGCGUCACAGCCCACAGCGAUCAAAAUCUGUUCCUGCGACUUUUAGGCCUACACAGGAGUUUCCUUUAAUUGACGAGCAGCCCUACUGGACACCAGCUCAACCAGAGACAGAAAACAGAUUCGACUCAGCCGACGAAAACAUUUUUUGGAGCCCAAAUGUAUUUCCAUCUAUCGCUUUCAGUGACAAGGUUGAAAAUAAUGACAUAACAGUUGAGGAGCUGAACUAUGAUGGCUUAUUUCCGGCACUUAAAAUAACAGAUAAAGAAUUGACCACAACCCGUGUCGAAUCUAGAGAAUUCAAAGAUGAUUGGUUUCGUCAUUCGAAACUUAUGGCCCUACAAGGCGAAAGUGAAGACUCAAGUGGGCAUACGGAUAAACCAGAAGUAAACGAAGAAAUGCUUUAUAUAAAGAGUCCAGUGGAAAUACAACCACAUUAUAAUAUGCCAAAUAAUAUUCAAUUCACGGAAUCUGAUUUAGAUACUCACUCGAGAUAUUCAGAUGCAAUAUACGAGGCGUACGAGAAUUCAAAACAAGAGAUUUACAUUUCUAAGUUCAGAAUCAAUUGCCUUCGAAAAACAUUGCGAGGGAGAGAAGAAAACCGGAAACGAACAACAAUCAGUAAAUACUCUUCCGGCACGGAUAAAACGCUAGCUGAUGGUUGUAAACAACGUCUAAGUGUUUCAGAAAGACUUUUAAACCAAGAGCAAAUAUGAAAAAUUAUAAUUAUUCAUCAUCAUCAUCGUUUCCAUUGUGUUAGUAAAAGCUUUACUUAAUUGUUGGUACAGUAUUGUGUACAACUGAUUUGUUUAAGACUUUGAAAUUGUUUGACGAAAAACAAGAUACAGAUUUUUAAUAUUUAAAAUCUAGUGGAAAAGAUUGUUUACAUCAUAUUAAUUUUUUUCCGAAACCUGGAUUUAAUAGAAAAUAAUGGAAAUAAAGUAUAAAGAGAAAAGAUUCAAGCUACUCCAAUUAUAAUAAUAAUAUGUAUUUAUAACUUGUACAACACAUUCUUAACAUUACUGAAAAUAUUCAGUAUUUUGACAAUAAAUAAUAUUAAUAAUGAUAAUAAUUUAUUACAAAAAUAAUAUAUACAUUGUCUGUUUUGCUUUUACCUCUGUUGAACUAUAUACAUUUAUUCGCUUCUACUUACUAAUUUGCAAUUUACUGUAACGUUUUAUUGUAGUAAUAAUGUACAAUGAUAUUCUAGAUUACAAACCUGUUAGUUGAAAUUUGGUAGUUAAAGUAAUGUAUUUCUGAAAUGUUGCAUAGCUAUUAAUUUUUUAAUCAACUCUACUGCCCCCUCUUUACAUUGAUGUUACCAAUUUAUCACGAGAGGGCGUGAAAUGGCUGAUAAAAACGAAAAAAAAGUAUAAUAUACCAGAAGGAACUAACAAGACUGCUAACGGAGAGUUAACAUCAUCAAUAGCCAAAAGCCCUGGCAACACCAAACUAACAGAUCGACCAGGUUUAUUAUCACGAACGUGAAAUUAUUGUGUUUGCUUGAGGAUGGUGCUGUCAUGGACACCUGAUGCUUAGAGAAAAGCAAAAAUCUAAAUUUGCUAAAUCAAUACUUUGGUAAGACAUUCACCAAGAAGGUCACGAAAAAUACAAAUAGGGACACAUGUCAGAGUGACAAAACCAAAACUGGAAAUGUUAAAAUCAUUAUCUAUGAUUUAAUCAUGCCUGUAACAAGUGGAUCUAAAUGGUGUAAAAAGUGACGUAACUUAGCUGCUUUUUCUAAUUUGAAAUAUCAGUUCCUGUAGUUGU